GCUAGUCUUUUAUUUCCAUGUACUAAUUUGAGUUCACUGCAUACAAAGCUUGACCAUGAAGACAUGCAGGUAAGACAAAACAACAACAAAAAGAUGUCAAUGAUGAUAAGUGAUGUGAUUUUCCCAGAAAAGUUAAAAGUUUUAUUUUUCUUCAGGUAAACUCUCCUAUUUUACAGGAAAAUAAAUAGCAUAAUAGUAAUGCUCUAAAAUGGACCAAUUUCACCUUCCAGUCAUUAUGCUGACAUUUCAAUAAUACAGGGUAAGUUCAUAGCUACAAAGCAAGCCAACAUGAGUGCUCAUGUAUUCUGAGAUGUCUAAUCCAGAGUUCAUACUUCUGGGGAGUUUGCUACCUACCAUAUACUUUCUCAGCUUUUUAAUCUAUAGGCCAUUUCCAAUUAUUUGAUUCUAUUCUAUUAAGAGGUUUUAUAAUGAAAUGGGAAUUAUGUGCCAACAUUCCUUAUUGGUAUUAUCAUUUUAAAAAAUAAGACAUUCACCAAAUUUUAGGAAGCACUUAAAUUUGGUUAAAUUUUUAACUAUGUCACUUUAGUUCUUCACAUCCCAUUUGUCCUUUCUUUCUGGAAUAGUAAUACAAUUUUACCUACUCAUUAGCCAAUUGGUACAUAUAUAUACAUGAAAUCACAGUACUAUCCAUGUGUCUGUAAAAUGCUAUUUUCUUCAAGGAAAGUCUUUCUUUUCAGGGCUUCCUCUUUCCUCUAAGAAGCCACAUGUAAUACUAUGCCUCUCCCAAACUUCUUGAUUACUUAGAAAUCUAAAGCACAGCCUUAGGUUGUUGGAAUGGAAAAGACUGAGAUGACCAGGCAGGUCAAAAGUACUACCUUGGAAGUAGAAGUCUAUUUGUGAACUUGGAUUCAUCUUUGAUUCCACUGAGCACCUGGUAGGUGGGUAUUCACAUAUUUCUUGAAACAGAGCUAUAUCAUCUCGGCUCCCGUGUUUUGAUACCUGUUACCACAAAGAGUUAUUUUGCUGCUUUUUCUAGUAUGCACACUUUACCACUGUUCUGGGUGUCUUGUAAACAUCUCACAUGUGGUCCUAAUUUUUUUUUCCAGGCUCCACACAGUUCUUUUCAAGGAUCGAGUGGCCAAUAUUUUACCUAAUAUGGUUUGUGCUCUUUCGCAACUUUGAAUCUUCAAAUGCUCAAAUCUAAAAGAUGCUUGUGCUCUGUUAUUAUGCGCUACCAGAAAGAAAACAUUGUUUUAUCCAAUUUGAUUUUUAAUGUAAUUAAUAGUGAUUUAAU
rnacentral:lncRNA from 1 species